UAAAAUAUUUUGUGAGAGUUGACAAUGAUGGAAUUUUCCAUACGUAUCCUGACUGUGGUGGACCAUUUGAGAGCAUAAAGGAAGUUCAGGAAGCCAUUGACUCCCACCAUGCUGUUCAGCGAAAAAACAUAUGCAUGGAUGGACUUAGCGACGAGGAGAGGGCUAUCCGAUAUGCUCUUUACUGGUAUCAUAAUGGCACACGAAAGCACUCCAAAGAAGCUUUUGAUUCCUGUACGACCAAUCUCCCUACAAAGGAAUUGGUGAAGGCUGUACUCGACAAAUACAACGAGGACAAUGGUCUUGUCGGAGAUCUUGCAUAUGAACUAGAAGAUAUUGUGAGGCACAAAGCAUGUUUUGACGGGAAAGAUUGCAUUUAUAGAUCUUACGCUCAUUUCAAUCUCACUAUGAAGACUAAAGGAGCUGCGAACAAGGAUCUGUACUUUGCUGAAGUCACACGUAUGGACGGUGAUUAUGAAGCGUAUGUGCUCACCUGUAUCUGCAUGGUCAAACCUGAUGACAAUGGUAUUAUAUACUUAACUUCAUCUGCUUUGAGAUUUAGAAUUUUAAUUUCUUGAAUU